GACGAACGCUGGCGGCGUGCUUAACACAUGCAAGUCGAACGGAAAGGCCCUGCUCUUGUGGGGUGCUCGUGUGGCGAACGGGUGAGUGACACGUGAGUAUCCUGCCCUUGACUUUCGGAUAACUUCUCGAAACUCGGGCUAAUAUCGGAUAGGAGCUCCUGCUGCAUGGUGGGGGUUGGAAAGUUUCGGCGGUUGGGGCUGGACUCGCGGCUUAUGCGCUUGUUGGUGGGGUAGUGGCUUACCAAGGCUUUGACGGGUAGCCGGCCUGAGAGGGGGGCCAGGCUCAUUGCGACUGAGGGACGCCCCAGACGCGAACGUGAGGCAGCAGUGGAGAACAUGGCACAGCGGGGGGAAGCCAGAGACAGCAGCCCUGCGUGCGGAAUAACGUCCUACGAGGGGAAAACCGCUGUCGCAUGAAACGAAGCGUGAGUGACGGUAAUUAGUAAAAAAGCACCGGCUAACUACGUG
rnacentral:rRNA from 1 species